rnacentral:rRNA from 1 species
GAGUUUGAUCUUGGCUCAGAUUGAACGCUAGCGGGAUGCCUUACACAUGCAAGUCGAACGGCAGCACGGACUUCGGUCUGGUGGCGAGUGGCGAACGGGUGAGUAAUGUAUCGGAACGUGCCUAGUAGCGGGGGGAUAACUACGCGAAAGCGUAGCUAAUACCGCAUACGCCCUACGGGGAAAGCAGGGGAUCGCAAGACCUUGCACUAUUAGAGCGGCCGAUAUCGGAUUAGCUAGUUGGUGGGGUAACGGCUCACCAAGGCGACGAUCCGUAGCUGGUUUGAGAGGACGACCAGCCACACUGGGACUGAGACACGGCCCAGACUCCUACGGGAGGCAGCAGUGGGGAAUUUUGGACAAUGGGGGAAACCCUGAUCCAGCCAUCCCGCGUGUGCGAUGAA